UGGGGAAUAUUGCACAAUGGGCGCAAGCCUGAUGCAGCCAUGCCGCGUGUAUGAAGAAGGCCUUCGGGUUGUAAAGUACUUUCAGUCGGGAGGAAGGUGGUAAGGUUAAUAACCUUAUCAAUUGACGUUACCGACAGAAGAAGCACCGGCUAACUCCGUGCCAGCAGCCGCGGUAAUACGGAGGGUGCAAGCGUUAAUCGGAAUUACUGGGCGUAAAGCGCACGCAGGCGGUUUGUUAAGUCAGAUGUGAAAUCCCCGGGCUCAACCUGGGAACUGCAUCUGAUACUGGCAAGCUUGAGUCUCGUAGAGGGGGGUAGAAUUCCAGGUGUAGCGGUGAAAUGCGUAGAGAUCUGGAGGAAUACCGGUGGCGAAGGCGGCCCCCUGGACAAAGACUGACGCUCAGGUGCGAAAGCGUGGGGAGCAAACAGG
rnacentral:rRNA from 1 species